UGCAGGAGUGAGCCUGCUCGCGAUAGCGCAAUGUCAGCAAACACACAUUGCCUGACACCGCCAUUGCGAGCAGGCUCACUCCUACA
rnacentral:misc_RNA from 1 species